CCCUUAGAUGUCCUGGGCCGCACGCGCGUUACACUGAUGCAUUCAACGAGCUUAUAACCUUGGCCGAGAGGCCUGGGCAAUCUUGUUAACGUGCAUCGUGAUAGGGAUAGAUUAUUGAAAUUAUUAAUCUUGAACGGGGAAUUCCUAGUAAACGCAGAUCAUCAAUCUGCAUUGAUUACGUCCCUGCCCUUUGUACACACCGCCCGUCGCACCUACCGAUUGGAUGGUCCGGUGAAGCCUCGGGAUUGUGGUUCUUGCCGCUUUAUUGUGGCGUGACCGCGAGAACUUGUCUAAACCUUAUCAUCUAGAGGAAGGUGAAGUCGUAACA
rnacentral:rRNA from 1 species